GGAAUAUUGGACAAUGGGGGCAACCCUGAUCCAGCCAUGCCGCGUGUGUGAAGAAGGCCUUUUGGUUGUAAAGCACUUUAAGCGAGGAGGAGGCUACCUGUAUUAAUACUAUAGGCUAGUGGACGUUACUCGCAGAAUAAGCACCGGCUAACUCUGUGCCAGCAGCCGCGGUAAUACAGAGGGUGCGAGCGUUAAUCGGAAUUACUGGGCGUAAAGCGCGCGUAGGCGGUUUGUUAAGUCGGAUGUGAAAUCCCCGGGCUCAACCUGGGAAUUGCAUUCGAUACUGGCAAGCUAGAGUAUGGGAGAGGAAGGUAGAAUUCCAGGUGUAGCGGUGAAAUGCGUAGAGAUCUGGAGGAAUACCGAUGGCGAAGGCAGCCUUCUGGCCUAAUACUGACGCUGAGGUGCGAAAGCAUGGGGAGCAAACAGGAUUAGAUACCCGUG
rnacentral:rRNA from 1 species